rnacentral:rRNA from 1 species
ACGCUCGACACCUACGGGAGGCAGCAGUGGGGAAUAUUGCACAAUGGGGGAAACCCUGAUGCAGCGACGCCGCGUGGAGGAAGAAGGUCUUCGGAUUGUAAACUCCUGUUGUUGGGGAAAAAGNGGAUGGUACCCAAACAAGGAAGUGACGGCUAACUACGUGCCAACAGCCGCGGUAAUCUGAGCGGGCUGGCAAGGC